rnacentral:lncRNA from 1 species
GCCCCUGUCCCUCCAGCGGGUAGAAACUCUGUAUACAUCCUCCUGGAAGUGUAACACAGCAGAGAAAGUAAAGACCAGGGAUAAACAAAUUAAGAGUGCCACCAGUGUUCUGAAGACAAUAUUUUUGAGCUUCAUCACUGAAAUAAAGAUUUGAGAAAUCACCAAUGAACAGCUCAAAUCCACUAGAAAGUCAAGUUUGGGCCCACAUGCAGAUUCUCACAUGAGGCUUUCACAUGUUGGAUUGUAUAUACCUGGUGGUUUACCCUUGGCAAACAGCCCAGUUCCCACCCAGCCAGCAAUCCAAUCCUAACAUUUAAAGGGACAGAGAGAGAAAAUGAGAAAAUUUAUGCACUGAGAUAACGGUGAGUAAAUUGUUUACCAACUAUGGACACAAAGCAGAACUGAUUCCACUUGGAAAAAUCAAU